rnacentral:rRNA from 1 species
UACGUAGGUGGCAAGCGUUGUCCGGAAUGACUGGGCGUAAAGGGUGCGUAGGUGGCUGUUCAAGUUAGUAGUGAAAUUCCGGGGCUCAACUUCGGCGCUACUACUAAGACUGUACAGCUUGAGUGCAGGAGAGGUAAGCGGAAUUCCUAGUGUAGCGGUGGAAUGCGUAGAUAUUAGGAAGAACACCGGUGGCGAAAGCGGCUUGCUGGCCUGUAACUGACACUGAGGCACGAAAGCGUGGGGAG